rnacentral:misc_RNA from 1 species
GGAUGAAGAACGUAGCGAAAUGCGAUAAGUAAUGCGAAUUGCAGAAUUUCCGUGAGUCAUCGAAUCUUUGAACGCACAUUGCGCCCACUGGUAUUCCGGUGGGCAUGCCUGUUCGAGCGUCAUUAUCCUCCCUCAAACCCCGGGUUUGGUGUUGGACCCAAGUUGUGUGAACAACUGGUCUCAAAGACAAUGACGGCGUCCGUGGGACCCUCGGUGCAACGAGCUUUUAGGAGCACGCAUCGAGUUGCAAGGACCUUCCGGGCCGGUCUCCUUUACCAUUUUACAAGGUUGACCUCGGAUCAGGUAGGAAUACCCGCUGAACUUAAGCAUAUCAAUAAGCGGAGGA